rnacentral:rRNA from 1 species
GGAGUUAGCCGGUGCUUCUUCUGUGAGUGAUGUCCUUCCUGCCGGCUAUUAACCCGCAGGCCUUCUUCCUCACUGAAAGUGCUUUACAACCCGAAGGCCUUCUUCACACACGCGGCAUGGCUGGAUCAGGGUUGCCCCCAUUGUCCAAUAUUCCCCACUGCUGCCUCCCGUAGGAGUCUGGGCCGUGUCUCAGUCCCAGUGUGGCUGAUCAUCCUCUCAGACCAGCUACGGAUCGUCGCCUUGGUGAGCCGUUACCUCACCAACCAGCUAAUCCGACAUAGGCUCAUCCGAUAGCGCGAGGCCCGAAGGUCCCCCGCUUUCCCCCGUAGGGCGUAUGCGGUAUUAGCCUGGGUUUCCCCCAGGUUAUCCCCCACUACCGGGGCAGAUUCCUAUGCAUUACUCACCCGUCCGCCGCUCGCCACCAGGGAGCAAGCUCCCCGUGCUGCCGCUCGACUUGCAUGUGUUAGGCCUGCCGCCAGCGUUCAAUCUGAACCAAGAUCAAAUUCUGA